rnacentral:rRNA from 1 species
UGGGGAAUUUUGGACAAUGGGCGAAAGCCUGAUCCAGCAAUGCCGCGUGUGUGAAGAAGGCCUUCGGGUUGUAAAGCACUUUUGUCCGGAAAGAAAUCCUUGGCUCUAAUACAGUCGGGGGAUGACGGUACCGGAAGAAUAAGCACCGGCUAACUACGUGCCAGCAGCCGCGGUAAUACGUAGGGUGCAAGUGUUAAUCGGAAUUACUGGGCGUAAAGCGUGCGCAGGCGGUUUGCUAAGACCGAUGUGAAAUCCCCGGGCUCAACCUGGGAACUGCAUUGGUGACUGGCAGGCUAGAGUAUGGCAGAGGGGGGUAGAAUUCCACGUGUAGCAGUGAAAUGCGUAGAGAUGUGGAGGAAUACCGAUGGCGAAGGCAGCCCCCUGGGCCAAAUACUGACGCUCAUGCACGAAAGCGUGGGGAGCAAACAGGAUUAGAUACCCUGGUAGUCCACGCCCUAAACGAUGUCAACUAGUUGUUGGGGAUUCAUUUCCUUAGUAACGUGGCUAACGCGUGAAGUUGACCGCCUGGGGAGUACGGUCGCAAGAUUAAAACUCAAAUGAAUUGACGGGGUCAUAGCUGUUUCCU